AUCAAGGUUUUUCUAGAAACCAUACAUGUAUAUUUUUAAAGAUCAU
rfam:Triticum aestivum genome assembly, contig: Triticum_aestivum_CS42_TGACv1_scaffold_250125_3DL